rnacentral:misc_RNA from 1 species
GGAAUCUUAGUCGCUUAGCUGGUUGGCUGGUUAUCUGAACUAUCACCUUGUUAGUGAGUUCGAUUUCACCAUCUUGUAAUCAAUCCCCUACCCCCAAAAAAAGAUGGCAAUUACCUAAAGAAAAGAACUGGGAUAACAUAUUGAAGCUAGUUUCGAGAUUGAAUAUCUAGAAAACAAUACCGUGCAUGCAUUUGAUGAAGUAG